AUGACCAGCAGGCCUGGCCACAGGCAGCAAGCACCAAAACCCAUUCCAGAUGCCAGGAAAGGCACACACAGGCCUGGCGCAGGUGGGCUGUCUUCUGGCUGCUCCCUGGGUGGACUGGUCUUGGAGACUGGACGGAGUGCUCAAUGUCAGGAGGAAGCCACGACUCACUCACUGGAGAACACGAGAGACAGCCGGCACCGCCCCGAGGAGUGAGCGGAGGAUCUGCCUGGAGCUAGCCAGCCUCAUGGCCUGGACAGACACCUCAGUGAGCCUGUGAUCAGGGCCCUCGGAGCAGAGCCAGCUGCAGGGAGGCAAGUCAGGAGGCCUUUCCUUGAGGCCAGGAGAGAAGAACAAGCCAGCAGGAGGGCAGGACAGACUCCAGAGACACUUGUUGAGAAAACUGGCUUCAGCUCCAGAGUGGGGGGCAGAGGGGCCGCUCCGCCUGGGCAGUGUGGGGACUGCUGCCGGCCGGGAAGCUGCCAAGAGCCCGGGAGAGAAGGGCAGAGGGCACAGCACUCCUUCUUCAUAGACAGCAGGGACAAAGGUGGAGGGUGACUACGUCACUCUCGAUUCCCCGCCUUUCUGGGAAGGCCUCAUCAUGAAACAUUUUCGGCAUCAUAAUACUGGCUUAUAAAUGUUCGUAUACCCAAUUCCCAAACCAUUGAUUAAUUUAUUAAAGCUAUGAUGUACGUAAGGAUGAGCAUUUAAUUAGAGAAGAGCUUCUACCAUUUCACCAACCCAGGCAGGGGGGAAGGGGUGGAAAGGGGCGGCUGCUGUCCCAGGGGCAGUCCUUGGUGUCCUCCUGGUCCAGGCUUUCUUCCCUCCCUUCAUUGGCCUCCAGAGCCAGGUGCUGCGCUGCCUGCACUAGAAGCCCUGCCCUAGGCUGUGCUGAGCAUGCGCACACACCCCCCUGAGCGGAGCUCCCGCGUCAGUGGCCUCACUCCACCCUGCUCUCCCUGCGAGCCUGCUGUCCAUAGUCUGGCAGGUCUCCUCUUCACGUUCAGUGACACAACUGCUCGGCGCAUUAUAGAGGCCUCUGAAAGGCUGUGUGUUCAUGAUCCUUCCAUGGAGGGGCUCAGAGGAGCAGCCUAAGAGGAGAUACCUGCACUGUGCAGGAAAGAGGGGCUCCCUGCAGAGCCAGUGCCGUUGGUGGGGCUCAGGCUCCCAGGGUAGGGGCAGGAGUGGUCUCCACAGUGCACAUUUGCACGCAUGUUAGGACGAGGCUAUGGGGCACAGAGGGGCUAUCUGCCCUGCCUGGAGACUGGUCUAGGGUUGCAGGGCCCACAUGCACUGCAUGCCCCCAAAAGGGUCAGGGGAAGGCUUCCUUCAUCCCCUUGGGGCUGCAGCCUCCUGCUUGCCUAGGGAAACAUGGCUCUUGGAGGCCCAGGGAGGCCGCUCCCCUGCUGAGCAGACAGGCCCCAAACUAAGGUGGAGACCACAGCGAUCGCAGCAGGGCAGCAGAAGCUGGUCUCAGGCUGGUGGGUGAAAGCUGAGGUUACUGGCAGUUGCCACGGCAUGGUGAGAUUGCCAGGAUGAGGGCCCACUUGAAGAACAUGCCUGCACUGCCCUAGAGCUGCAUCUUCCCGGCAGCAGAAUGUCAGGGGAACCAGGCCUCCCCGCUUCAAGUGGGACAAAUGUAUGAGCCUGGGGGGCAGGUGGGGAGGGCCCUGCAGGGUGCCUGGGCAGCCCGUGGAGGAAGAGCGGGGACUCCCUUCGCACCGGGUGUAGCCAGCUGCACGGCAUUAACAGCCACUUCUCCUUCAGAACUUUGCUCUUCAGGUGGGGUCUGGGGUGAGGAAACCCAGUAACCCAGGAUUUGUACAAGGAAAGUAGCUUCCUGUGGCUUGGCUUCUUACGAGCGUCUAAAAGAACCGUCCUGGUACCGCUAGGCCACAAAAAGUUCAGAAAACACUGCAAGAGACACUGGGACACUCUAAAGCCAGGCCCAGAGAAGGAAUGCUGAGGAGAGAGAGGAGGAAUGCCAAAGAGAGGCCCAGCGGGAAGGGGUUCUGCCCAGCACCCUCUGCCUGGUCCCGGGCUCCCUGUGCAGGGAGCUAUGCCAGUGUGCUGAGGGUGUUCGAUGAGGACAGCAGCUCACAAUUGCAGAAGCCAUGGACUCCUGGAGAAAUGGACCAUGCACCUUCUCCCCAGCAAAGUGUCCUCUCUCCAAAGAGCUUUGAAUCUCAGAGAAUCUGAAGGCCCCCACCACGUGGGGCCCAUCCAGAGCCCUGGCCCAGAGCAGCAGAGGACAGGCUUAUACCUCUGCUCUGGAGUUGUGAAACCGUGGCACCCUGGAGUUGUGAAAUGCCAUCUCAAACUCGGCCAAUGGCCCUUCCAUCCCUGUCCCAGCUCCUAGACUGGCUCUUUCCAUUAUAAGGAGGCCGGGAAGUAAUCCAGCUUCACCUGGUAAGUUCGACCUGUGAAAUGUGGGCAGACACAAGUCAGACACAACACCUUCUGUCCACACCGCUGGCACAAGGCUUCCAGUUGGGCAGAGCUGCUAGGGGGCACGGGGACAGAGGUGGAGCUCCUCCAUCCAGCCCCCAAAGGAGCCUGGGCGUGACCGUGGGCACUCAGAGCAGGCUGCCUCCUGAGGGACCAGAAGUCAAGCGUGCGAUGGGCUGCGGGGCGGAGAGGCCACUCUGCCUCCAGGGACACACACUCUCCCAGGCCCACUUCCCUGUGGCCAAGGAGGAAAGCCGAGCAGGCACCUUUGAGUUGCACACAACGGACACACAGCACAGAGCCCACCCAGCCUGAGUAUUUACCAUCCGCCUUUCAUGGAAAUGCCGGCACCUGCUCCAGAGGAUACAGGAAUGACAGGGAUGGAGGACGGGAGGGACUCCCAGCCUGCAGGGAGGCUCCUGCAUGUGCCCAGCAGACUUUCAGCAGGGCUGGGCUGCAGGAGUGCCCAGCAUUUCCCAUUUCAGCUCCACUGGAAAGUGCGGCUGGUUCAAGUUGUUGCGAACUGAUCCCACCCAUGUAUACUGGGGUGGGAGGGCAGUGGGCAGCUUCUCGGCUCAGGUUUCCAGAGCACGAGGGGGCAGAUCCAGAGUGAGAGUAACUCACCGUAUUAAGAGUCCGGGCAUUAAGCCUGGUGCCAUGAAGGGACCAGACUUUGGGGCCAUCUUCCUUGGGUAGGGUUUAUUUUGCAUGGGGAAAGCUGGGAAGCAAAUAUUUGUGACCAGAAGGGCAAAUGACGGUGACUGAAUUACUGCUCAUGCAUAUUCACUGCCUGUCCCUGGGAGAGGCCUACACUUCCCACCCCCUGAAGUCUUGGCCAGUUGGCGUCUCUUGUGGGAAGAAUAACUCACGUCCUGCGGGUGGUUGUCUGUGCUCUCACUGCUCUGCUCCAACACCAAUGACACUCCAGAUGGGGACUGCACUAGUUGCUUGGGAAGGGGUUGAAGACAAGAGCCACAGCUGACACAGGUGAACAGGAAAUAAACUUGUCUAUGUAUCAGCC
rnacentral:antisense_RNA from 1 species